UGGAGAGAAAGGCAGUUCCUGAUGGUCCCCUCCUCAGGGGCUGGCUUUCCUCUGGU
rnacentral:pre_miRNA from 1 species